CUGAUGUUGCAUUACCGCAGGUAAAGCACUCUCAGUGACUGAAUGACUGAUUGCAAACACACAAGCAUGAUUACAAAUAUGUGUGCACACACGUCUUUCCACAUGCAUGCACCCCAGCUGAGGUCACACAGACCCUCUUUCUCUCUUUGUCUUUACUCUGUGCAAGUGAUACCCAGUCCUGUAAUGGAUAGGGGCCAUGGAUCCUGUAGCACAGGCAGAGAAGCACAGUAGAAACCAGGCUAUGCUCCAUUUAUUUAAAAACCACAUGACCUGGUGCACAAAUGAGAAACAAGAGAUAAACAGCACAAUAUACUUACAUUAAACACAAUGUGCUGCUCUACUGUAGAAGGGCACGGUUGGUUCUCUUAUCAAGAAAACUUUCACAGUUUCACUCCCUAAAUUCCUUCUCUAUCGCUUUAUUCCUAAGGUGUAUUAUUUGUUUUCUGAUACAGUGACAUGCACGAGUUGGGAGUCACAGCUGACCACAGAUUGCUUUCAAAGGUGUCUGGCUCUGAAACUAUCCAUCAGUGGCCACUGUUGCCACACUAACACAGCAGUACAUCACUACCCUCCUCUGGGAUACAGCAUGAAAUCAAUAGACUCGUCUUUCUUGGAAUCCUCCAUGUCCAUCAUGUAAAAAAAGUGUAGUCCAGAAAUGAUCAGUUGAUUGAUCGUUUAGUUGACUCACUGUUGUCAACUUCUUAAAUGUAAGCCUUUUUUGUAAGCCUGUUUUGGUAUUUUUCAUUAUUUUCUGACAUUGUCCAUAAAAUAUUGUCUGGACAUAAUUAAGAGCUGCUGUUAAUCGCUUUUCAAAAACAAAAAGCCAAUAUUCCUUAGUACCAGCCGACCACUUUUACCACACAUAACCGUAGGCUAUGGGACAUUUUUUAAAUUAUUUUCUGACAACAUGACAACUACAGAUAUAGAUUAAUCCAAAUCCUACCCCAGAGCAACACAAUUGUUUCCCAGGAACUUAAAAAAAAUCUAUUUUCAGCUAGAGUUAAAGUCCAUGUUUAUGAAACUAGUUUGAUAAGACAGUUUUGUAAUAGAUGGGGUGAUGUGUGUUUUACAGGUUUGGAGCCAACUAAAGCACAAUAUGACCAGCCUCGAUGAGGGAACGCCUUCUCCAAAUCAAAUGCCUUGUAAUCAUGUGACAGCCUAAGCUUUCAAGGGAAACGUCUGCGGCCCUGCAGUGUCCUCCAGUCUCCCAGAGGAUUACCCACAGUGGCCGAAUCACUCGCUUUGAUGGCCCGAUAUGGUUAAAAUAGCUGGGGAGAGGUUUGAGGGCUUUCUCCACUGACUGUUCACAUAGAUGAGAAAGAGUGACACCAUGUGUUCAGCAUUGAAUUUGGUCAGGGUCUGAUGGGAAACUUGGAAGUGGAGUGAAAAGACAGAGACUGGAUAAACACUCACCUAACAAUACAAUACAUCCUACAUACACACUCUGCCUCGCUCUCUCACCCUUUCUCUCUCGCUCUCUCUCUCUCGCGCACACACACACACUCACUCACUCACUCACACAGAGCUCUGUGUGAGCUGUGGUACCUACACACAAGAAAGAGGCUGUUUGUCUUUCCUGGGAUCAGUAAACAUCCUCAACACAAACAAGUUCCUCUGGAGUGAGAGAGGAGAAACUCACACCAUCAGGGCAGCUGCACUCUCACUCCGCCGCUGCCUUUGAUGUCCUUCAGAGAGAGCUGAUAAUGAAGGCCUCUUACAUCUUAAUUCUUUUAAUUGGAGCGUGGAUGUAACAGGUUGCUGAUACUUUGUUGUCAUUGUCUUGGCUUGAUGUGAAGUAAAGGCAAAUUUAAAAGCGAUCAUAAUCCUUAUUUUCAAGACGUGAGGUAAAAGUUUGUCUAAAUUAAAAAGGAUACCACUGUAGUCGGCUCAAACUGAAAAAUAAAACCUGCAUUUGUUACAGCAUCAUUUGAUCAUCUGAAAAUAACCUCAUUAAAGGUUAAGGCUGGCAGUAUUCUGCAUUUUUGUUACUGUCAACAAAGCCAAGGAAAAAACCAAAACCAUUAGUCCAUCUCUCAAAACUUUCUAACUCACCCUG